CUCCAUGAAGCUGGAUUCGCUAGUAAUCGCGCAUCAGCCACGGCGCGGUGAAUACGUUCCCGGGCCUUGUACACACCGCCCGUCAAGCCAUGGAAAGCCGGGAGUGCCUGAAGUGCGUGAGCGCAAGCAGCGCCCUAAGGUAAAACCGGUGACUGGGGCUAAGUCGUAACAAGGUAGC
rnacentral:rRNA from 1 species